rnacentral:rRNA from 1 species
CCUACGGGGGGCUGCAGUGGGGAAUAUUGGACAAUGGGCGCAAGCCUGAUCCAGCCAUGCCGCGUGAGUGAUGAAGGUCUUCGGGUUGUAAAGCUCUUUUGGCGGGGACGAUAAUGACGGUACCCGCAGAAUAAGCCCCGGCUAACUUCGUGCCAGCAGCCGCGGUAAUACGAAGGGGGCUAGCGUUGUUCGGAAUUACUGGGCGUAAAGCGCACGUAGGCGGAUUGAUAAGUCAGAGGUGAAAUCCCGGGGCUCAACCUCGGAACUGCCUUUGAUACUGUAAGUCUUGAGUCCGGAAGAGGAGAGUGGAAUUCCUAGUGUAGAGGUGAAAUUCGUAGAUAUUAGGAAGAACACCAGUGGCGAAGGCGGCUCACUGGUCCGGUACUGACGCUGAGGUGCGAAAGCGUGGGGAGCAAACAGGAUUAGAUACCCGGGUAGUC